rnacentral:rRNA from 1 species
GACGGGUGAGUAACGCGUGAGUAACCUGCCUUUCAGAGGGGAAUAACGUUCUGAAAAGAACGCUAAUACCGCAUAACGUACAGUUACCGCAUGGUAGCAGUACCAAAGGAGCAAUCCGCUGAAAGAUGGACUCGCGUCCGAUUAGCUAGUUGGUGGGGUAAAGGCCUACCAAGGCGACGAUCGGUAGCCGGACUGAGAGGUUGAACGGCCACAUUGGGACUGAGACACGGCCCAGACUCC